rfam:Schistosoma rodhaini strain Burundi genome assembly, scaffold: SROB_scaffold0002498
AUCCAGCUGAAGAGUCCCAAAUAGAACGAAACGCGCAUCCUGCAU